AGUGGCAAACGGGUGAGUAACACGUGGGCGACCUACCUUCGAGUGGGGGAUAACCUUCCGAAAGGAGGGCUAAUACCGCAUGACAUCCCGUGUUUGGAUACACGGUGAUCAAAGCCGGGGAUCGCAAGACCUGGCGCUUGAAAAGGGGCCCGCGUCCGAUUAGCUUGUUGGUGAGGUAACGGCUCACCAAGGCUUCGAUCGGUAGCCGGCCUGAGAGGGCGGACGGCCACACUGGGACUGAGACACGGCCCAG
rnacentral:rRNA from 1 species